ACAAGAGGAAAACAAGGGGAAGAGAACACAUAUUGAGCUACCCAUCCUCUCAUUGUUUGCCAAAAUUAAAUCGGGAAGGUACUCUGAAACACAGGUUAAAUGACGAAAAUUAUGAAUUUAGCUCACACAAUGCCGUCAAACGGAAAAGGAAAAGAUACAUGGGAUGGGAAGGGGCCACACCAAGGUCCCACAAGUUCAAUGGAGCAUUUAUCAACCAUCUGGCAGUGACUGCAGGCAUCCUUCCUCAGUGGGUAUCAGCUUCUGUGAGCGAAGGCCACAGACAACUAAACAGGAAUUACAUACAAUGAAGAUGUGAUAUGAGAACUUUUUCCCCCAAAAGCACAAAGAAUUCCUCAAGGAAACUAUGUUUUUCCCCCCAGGAGUAUGACAUGAUUGAAGCCCAGAGAUCAGCUAUGAGAUUCUGAAAUGUGUAGAAUACCUGAAGUAUAAGGAAAGUAUUUGAAUAUGCAGUUUAAAGAGAAGAAAAAUCCUACACAAUAAAAACAGAAGAAACCAUCUGUGGCAUGGCAAGCCCUGCCUCAUUACUUUUCUGAGAUGCCAGUACAAUGGGUCUUUUAAACCCACCGCUUAGCACCAAGAUGUGACAUGGCAGUGGAGAGACUCUCACUCAGGACCAGGAUCCUAUGGUGAUUCCUUCCUUAUCUGAUGCCACUGCUGCCACCAAUUUCUGCCACAGCUUUGCAACUACCUCACCACCUGCCAACACAUUUGUAAAUCCCACUACUACUACUACGACUUCACUAGCUGCCACCAAUUAUGUGUCAGGACGACAAUGUGUCACUGCCAAAUCUCUUAAAUCCCUUUACACUAUGUGCCAGCAUGACACCAAUUAUGUGUGAAGACCCUCCAACUCGGAUCUCUCACAAAUGACUUCCACACUAGAACUCUCUUCAACUGCCAACACUCUGGACACUCAUUGCCAAUUGAUAACUGCGCCAGCCCUACCUGAAUGGUCCUAGAGAGAAUCUUUUCUUUCUUGGUAGUGUUUUAAAUACAUUUGGUAGCAUGUAUGGUGUUAUCUUUAAAAACACUUCAGGCAACUUCUUGUUGAAAUAAAGGGAAGGAUUUUAUU